rnacentral:rRNA from 1 species
UACGAGGGGGGCGAGCGUUGUUCGGAAUUAUUGGGCGUAAAGGGCUCGUAGGCGGCCAACUAAGUCAGACGUGAAAUCCCUCGGCUUAACCGGGGAACUGCGUCUGAUACUGGAUGGCUUGAGUUUGGGAGAGGGAUGCGGAAUUCCAGGUGUAGCGGUGAAAUGCGUAGAUAUCUGGAGGAACACCGGUGGCGAAGGCGGCAUCCUGGACCAACACUGACGCUGAGGAGCGAAAGCCAGGGGAGCAAACGGG